UUUCCUCAGGUGAACUGUUCAGACAGAGUUAGGGACCACCUGCCUGUCACAUGUCCUGACCUGGUUACACCUGCAGGUGCUGAUAUGCACCUGGGACCAAGAAAUGUGUUAAAAACACAAAAGUCAGCACCUGAAUCGAAGCAUACAGAAGUCAAUUUCGCAACAUUUGAAUCACUGAGAGCUCCAAAACAGAGACCUAUCAAGACACAGCGUAAAAUCUCUGCUACUGUGGAGCUUGAAAAGAGAAGAGGGGGUGUGAUGUUACAUGAGACAGCUAAGCACAACACCUGCUCUCCUGUGCUGGAGAGAAGCUCACAAAUUGAUGAUAAAAAGUGCAUCAGUCAACAUAAGUCUCUACAGCAACAGAUCCAGGAACACUACUGUCUGUCACAAGAUAGUGGACAACAAAAGCCAUGCAACAUCUGAUUAUACAGUCCAACAGCAGGCAUGGAAUGGGAGGUUGAAGGGGAGAGACGUGCGGUAGUCUGCACCUGUACAGACUGGGCAGGUGGAGACGUGACAGUUGUGCAGGUGGAGACGUGACAGUUGGGACAGGUGAGAAGAAGAAGAGGAACAUUCACUGCUGCAGGUGACAGAGGUUUUCGUAAGGCUCCUGCAGUUUCUGUGCAGUGUACUUAGUAAGAGGGCCUAGUCAAGUGCUCUGUCUUCGCAUAUGCUGUCCUUUUUUUCAGGCCACACCAAUUUAAUUUGUUGGUUCUUGGAUU